UACGUAGGUCCCAAGCGUUGUUCGGAUUCACUGGGCGUAAAGGGUGCGUAGGCGGUCAGGUAAGUCUGAUGUGAAAUCUCUGGGCUUAACCCAGAAAUGGCAUUGGAUACUAUUUGGCUUGAGAGUUGGGAGGGGGGACUGGAAUUCUUGGUGUAGCAGUGAAAUGCGUAGAUAUCAAGAGGAACACCAGUGGCGAAGGCGAGUCCCUGGACAACUUCUGACGCUGAGGCACGAAAGCUAGGGGAGCAAACAGG
rnacentral:rRNA from 1 species